GGCGCUUUGUGGUGGGGACGGGGAGGACCAGGAGCUCAGCUUGUAAAGUGCCUUAGACAUCCAAGCAGAGAAACUGCUGGCUGCCUGGAGUUUAGGAGCAAGGUCCAAGCCAGCGACAGGCACUGAGCGUCACCCACACAUAAUGUGCACCUAAAGUUGGAGAAUGACUGAGAGCAUCGCAGGAGUGAGGGUGGGUACAAAAAAGAAGCCGCCCAAGAGUCGGAGCUUGGGGCACCCCGGUGCUAAGAAAGAACCAGCUAUGGAGACUGAGGAGAGGCAGCCACAGAGCUUCUCCAAACCAGACUUUUGUAGAAAGGGAUAACCUGCCAGCUCUUCUCCUCUGCUUGUCACUGCGAAGACCCCACUCCCAUCCCGUCUUCUGCUUUGCUCUCCUUGCCGGGACUAGGGAGGAAGCCCCAGCUCCCAAUUCACUCUCACUUGGGAAGAGCACUUAGGCCACAAACCUGAAACCCACCCUGGAGCCAAGGGGUGUCUUCGCACAGGAAAAAGCCAUACCCCGCUGCUGGGCUUGUGUACAGUACAACUCCAUCCUUGCACUGCCAGGCGUGAAGGCAGGAAGGUGGGACUCUGCUGUGUGCCUAAGAAAAUCUAUAUGAAGGUGAUACAACAGAAACAGAGGAAGAGGUGGACCCCCAAGGAACUCACCCAGCAGCCUCCACAGUACUGCCCCUUGCUAACAGCAUCCUGGUUUUGCUCAAUCUGGGGCAGCAAUGUGCUCAGGGAGUGUUCCCCAGGAGAAGAGGGAGAAGAAGACAUUCAAGAGAUGGAAAGUCGCUCCUGUGCUUCUUCCCUGGAGGCUGUAUUGAGAGGAUAUGAUCCUCCGAUCUGUGGCAGUCACCUAAGAAUAGGAGAAAGGCAAGUAAAGUAUAGAAAAGCUAUCUUGAGUCCCGGCAUCACUGAGCUGCUGAAUUAACAACCCUGGAUCCACCUACUGCCAAAUUCUUGUUUGCAAAAUAACGAAUUGUCCUUAUUGUCCGCAUUCAUUUCAGUUGGGCAUUCUCAUAUUUUGUAACCAAAGGCAUCUUACCUACUGCAGCAAAGCAGAAAUAAAGAACUAUGAUUUUUCUGUCA